rnacentral:rRNA from 1 species
CAAUAGCGUAUAUUAAAGUUGUUGCAGUUAAAAAGCUCGUAGUUGGAUUUGUGGCGUACGGUGUGUUCUGGGCACUUGUUGUCUGAGUAACCUGCUGUUGCCAUCCUUGGGUGGAACCUGUGUGGCAUUAGGUUGUCGUGCAGGGGAUGCCCAUCAUUUACUGUGAAAAAAUUAGAGUGUUCAAAGCAGGCUUAUGCCGUUGAAUAUAUUAGCAUGGAAUAAUGGGAUAGGACUUUCUUGCUAUUUUGUUGGUUUGCGCAAAGAGGUAAUGAUUAAUAGGGACAGUUGGGGGUAUUCGUAUUCCAUUGUCAGAGGUGAAAUUCUUGGAUUUUUGGAAGACGAACUACUGCGAAAGCAUUUACCAAGGAUGUUUUCAUUAA